GAGAUUAAUCGGAGAGCAUCCAAAGCAGUGUACCUUCUUGAACAGUUAGGGCAUAUAUACUCCUGAACUGUGUUCUUGUCCUCCAGUUCAUCUUUCAGUUUCUUCUUCAUGCGGUGCAUUCUGUAUCUAACCACAUCAUAGAUCUGUGCAUAGUCUAGCGAACAAUAAGAGUGUGUGUGCAUCUUAAUCUUUUCAUCCCCGUCCUUCGCUGGGUGUUGACCAUCGGCUGUGGCAGCAACCGCAGCACUAAAUAUCUUUGCUCCCUUAGCUGUCUCCCUUCUAUGAUCUCGGGUAAUCAGUUUUUCCUCCUCUAAAAACCUUAGGGUUCGACGCAAUUGCUUUGAAUGUAGUUUUAAGUUCUUUGCCAAAUCUUCUUCCCGAACCCAUUGUCGUCUCGUAAGAGCAUCAAGGACAACAACCGCGAUUCCCCUAUUAUCACUCCUACCGGUCUUAGGUUGAUUAUCCCCUUUAGUCGUAAUGUCAUCGUAGAAAGCUCUCGCAGCUAGCUUCACCAACCUGUUAAAGGGUUCGAUACUCAUGGUGGUGAUGAAUUAACUUGGGGUUCAAUUCCUCAAUCAAAUUCUUAGAACUGGUCUUUGCUAAUACAUGUGAGCUGAAUUUUUUUCGGUAUUCGAUUCAACCAAGAC
rnacentral:misc_RNA from 1 species